rnacentral:rRNA from 1 species
UACGUAGGGGGCUAGCGUUGUCCGGAUUAUUGGGCGUAAAGAGCGUGUAGGCGGCCAGGUAGGUCUGCUGUGAAAACUCGAGGCUCAACCUCGAGACGUCGGCGGAAACCAUCUGGCUAGAGUCCGGAAGAGGAGAGUGGAAUUCCGUGGUGUAGCGGUGAAAUGCGCAGAUAUCAGGAAGAACACCCGUGGCGAAGGCGGCUCUCUGGGACGGUACUGACGCUGAGACGCGAAAGCGUGGGGAGCAAACAGG